UACGGAGGGAGCUAGCGUUAUUCGGAAUUACUGGGCGUAAAGCGCACGUAGGCGGCUGUGUAAGUUAGAGGUGAAAGCCCGGAGCUCAACUCCAGAAUUGCCUUUAAAACUGCAUCGCUCGAAUCCGGGAGAGGUGAGUGGAAUUCCGAGUGUAGAGGUGAAAUGCGUAGAUAUACGGAAGAACACCAGUGGCGAAGGCGGCUCACUGGACCGGCAUUGACGCUGAGGUGCGAAAGCGUGGGGAGCAAACAGG
rnacentral:rRNA from 1 species